GAUGAACGCUGGCGGCGUGCCUAAUACAUGCAAGUCGAGCGAACAGACGAGGAGCUUGCUCCUCUGACGUUAGCGGCGGACGGGUGAGUAACACGUGGAUAACCUACCUAUAAGACUGGGAUAACUUCGGGAAACCGGAGCUAAUACCGGAUAAUAUAUUGAACCGCAUGGUUCAAUAGUGAAAGACGGUUUUGCUGUCACUUAUAGAUGGAUCCGCGCCGCAUUAGCUAGUUGGUAAGGUAACGGCUUACCAAGGCAACGAUGCGUAGCCGACCUGAGAGGGUGAUCCGCCACACUGGAACUGAGACACGGUCCAGACUCCUACGGGAGGCAGCAGUAGGGAAUCUUCCGCAAUGGGCGAAAGCUUGACGGAGCAACGCCGCGUGAGUGAUGAAGGUCUUCGGAUCGUAAAACUCUGUUAUUAGGGAAGAACAAAUGUGUAAGUAACCAUGCACGUCUUGACGGUACCUAAUCAGAAAGCCACGGCUAACUACGUG
rnacentral:rRNA from 1 species